UACGAAGGGGGCUAGCGUUGCUCGGAAUUACUGGGCGUAAAGGGCGCGUAGGCGGAUAUCUAAGUUGGGGGUGAAAUCCCGGGGCUCAACCUCGGAAUUGCCUUCAAAACUGGAUAUCUUGAGUUCGGGAGAGGUGAGUGGAACUCCGAGUGUAGAGGUGAAAUUCGUAGAUAUUCGGAAGAACACCAGUGGCGAAGGCGACUCACUGGCCCGAUACUGACGCUGAGGCGCGAAAGCGUGGGGGAGCAAAACAGG
rnacentral:rRNA from 1 species